rnacentral:misc_RNA from 1 species
AAGUUCAUCUAUGAAAUUUAAGAAAUUGAGCCGCUGGCAAUAAAUCAAAGCCAAGGCAGUUUCACAUGGUACCAGAAAUUUUUUUGCUCCUUUCUUUUAUUUUCUUAGUGGCUUUGUUAUCUUUAGUUCUCUACGCAUGGUUAAUGCAAGAAGGGAUUUACAGGGAAAAUGUCCCUUCGAGAGGGCUCGUGUUGUACAUCUGUCACCUGUGAACAAAUGUUAACUUUUU